AAUAAAAACUCACGGAUUAUUCUUCAGCAGUUUCAAGUGCCGGAUCUGAAACAGGCAUUGGCAUAUCCAAGUUCGUCAUUCUUGUUUCUGCUCAGAUGCCAAAUUCUACCAGGCUUCUUCCCUACAAAGACAACGGAUACGUUAUGGGAUUUAAUGUAGAGCUGUGAGGGAAUGCAUCAGGAUAUAGCGUGUUAACUUUGAUGUGUGUGUAUGUUGAUGAGUAUUUCCUUUACUUUGGAUCAUAAUAUGUUAAGGGUAAAAGUGAACUUGAACCCUCCGUUCCGAACUUACUUGACCCAGUAUGCUCACCCUAGGUCCUCACUCUUUGUGAUGGAUUGUAUUCGGACCGCCAUGACUCCAUGGUCAAAAGACGCUUUUCAUGUGCCUUGAAAGUGAGGGAUCGGAAUUUACUUUUAUCACCCUGUAUCAUGGUACCACGACGUGCUACUCGGGGCUUUGCAUGUGUGUGUGUGCGUGUGCGUUAGAUCAGGAUGUAAUACUUCAGAAUUGGAAUAAGCAGCAAGAUCAUUAAGCUGAACAUACAGAUUCGGAGAUCGAGAUCUGCGGCAGGAUACCACGAACAUGUUCAUAGAUUGUUGGAUAUUACUCAGGACAAGACCUGUUCUCUUUGGAGUAAUAUACAAGACACAGAGAGAUGAGCAGUCCUUGCUGGAUUAUGACGACACGUCUAGUAAGGUCUGUGUUGAGCUCAAUAACGUUUGCCCAUCUCAUCAGCCAUGGAAAAAAGUUCCAGAGGUACUCAACUUAGGUACGACGGAGUAUGCGCCAAAACUUCUGCAACCAGACGCACUGCAACAGAUAUGGAUCGAAAAUAUUCGGGGUAACUUGAAGCCCUGGCGGCGAUGAGAUCUAUUCAGGUAUGUAUCCCUGGGUGUUUCUGUCAACAUAUGUCUUCUGUCACAAGAGUACGUUGAGUCUCCCUCCUACGACUAUUUUUCUUCUCCACCCCCCCUUUUUUAAGUUAAUAGUUGUGGGCUGCCUUUCUUGGACUGAUCUGGGUUUUUGGUUUUUUUGUUUGUUUUUAUAUUGUGGGCUUUCGUUCUAGUACAGAUCUUUCCCUUUGUUUUAAUAUUGUUGGCCUCUCCCCAGGACUGAUUUUUUAAUCUAUCUAUCUAUCUAUCUAUCUAUCUAUCUAUCUAUCUAUCUAUCUAUCUAUCUAUCUAUCUA